AGGCUUCAAACCUUGGGACGCCUAGCGGCGUAGUUGUUCGAUUCAACCUUG
rnacentral:tRNA from 1 species